CAUGCAAGUCGAACGAUGAACCUCGCUUGCGGGGGGAUUAGUGGCGAACGGGUGAGUAACACGUGAGUAACCUGCCCUUAACUCUGGGAUAAGCCUUGGAAACGAGGUCUAAUACUGGAUAUUGACUUUACCUCGCAUGGGGUUUUGUUGAAAGAUUUAUUGGUUUUGGAUGGACUCGCGGCCUAUCAGCUUGUUGGUGAGGUAAUGGCUCACCAAGGCGACGACGGGUAGCCGGCCUGAGAGGGUGACCGGCCACACUGGGACUGAGACACGGCCCAGACUCCUACGGGAGGCAGCAGUGGGGAAUAUUGCACAAUGGGCGAAAGCCUGAUGCAGCGACGCCGCGUGAGGGAUGACGGCCUUCGGGUUGUAAACCUCUUUCAGUAGGGAACAAGGCCAGCAUUUUUGUUGGUUGAGGGUACUUGCAGAAGAAGCGCCGGCUAACUACGUGCCAGCAGCCGCGGUAAUACGUAGGGCGCAAGCGUUAUCCGGAAUUAUUGGGCGUAAAGAGCUCGUAGGCGGUUUGUCGCGUCUGCCGUGAAAGUCCGGGGCUCAACCCCGGAUCUGCGGUGGGUACGGGCAGACUAGAGUGAUGUAGGGGAGACUGGAAUUCCUGGUGUAGCGGUGAAAUGCGCAGAUAUCAGGAGGAACACCGAUGGCGAAGGCAGGUCUCUGGGCAUUAACUGACGCUGAGGAGCGAAAGCAUGGGGAGCGAACAGGAUUAGAUACCCUGGUAGUCCAUGCCGUAAACGUUGGGCACUAGGUGUGGGGGACAUUCCACGUUUUCCGCGCCGUAGCUAACGCAUUAAGUGCCCCGCCUGGGGAGUACGGCCGCAAGGCUAAAACUCAAAGGAAUUGACGGGGGCCCGCACAAGCGGCGGAGCAUGCGGAUUAAUUCGAUGCAACGCGAAGAACCUUACCAAGGCUUGACAUGAACCGGAAAUACCUGGAAACAGGUGCCCCGCUUGCGGUCGGUUUACAGGUGGUGCAUGGUUGUCGUCAGCUCGUGUCGUGAGAUGUUGGGUUAAGUCCCGCAACGAGCGCAACCCUCGUUCUAUGUUGCCAGCACGUUAUGGUGGGGACUCAUAGGAGACUGCCGGGGUCAACUCGGAGGAAGGUGAGGACGACGUCAAAUC
rnacentral:rRNA from 1 species